rnacentral:rRNA from 1 species
CAGCCGCCGCGGUAAUACGUAGGGUGCGAGCGUUAAUCGGAAUUACUGGGCGUAAAGCGUGCGCAGGCGGUUGUGUAAGACAGGUGUGAAAUCCCCGGGCUUAACCUGGGAACUGCGCUUGUGACUGCACAGCUAGAGUAUGGCAGAGGGGGGUGGAAUUCCACGUGUAGCAGUGAAAUGCGUAGAGAUGUGGAGGAACACCGAUGGCGAAGGCAGCCCCCUGGGCCAAUACUGACGCUCAUGCACGAAAGCGUGGGGAGCAAACAGGAUUAGAUACCCGGGUAGUCCCUGUCUCUUAUAU